CCGCUGCUGCAGCCCGCGGUCCCCAGGGCACGGGCACCGCCCAGCCCGCUGCGGAGACCGGGGGACCGUAGCGGCCGCUUACUGAGUGGGGGGGGGGGGGGUCCGUCGGUGAAGCGGGAAAACACGCCCCCCCCCUCGGUGCGGCCGCAGUGGACCGGCCCAGGGAAAAAGGGAACGCGAGGCCCCUCCCGUCACCACGCGCGGCUGCUCGGGUCGCGCAUGCGCGCGGCGGGGGCGGAGCCUGCGGGCCAGGCGGCGGGAGCGGGCCUCGGGCGCUCUGGCCGGGGUCUCGGGGCCUUGGGCACAGAAGAGCGGAGUGUCGGCGCCUGCUGCCCGACGGGACCCGAGGUAACGCCGCAGGCCGGCUUCUCCCCGCCUGGCCCGAGCCCCUCUCCCGCCUGGGCCGUCGGAGCGAGCCCGCCCCGCCCCCGGAGUCCUGACGACCGCGCGCCGCGACGUGCCCCGCCUCUACCGUCCUCCCGGGGCGGGGCCUGUGGUCCGCGCGGCCCGCGCGCUCGGUUCCGGCCGCCCGGGGAGCACCGCAGGGCGUCGGGAGAGCGACGGGAGUGAGCGUGCGUGGAAGUUGGUCCCGAGGAGGAGGAAGCUUUCGGAGCCCCGGUGCCGCCCCGAUGCGACCUGAACGCGCUUCCGAGGCACGGCUGAGUGGGCCCGCGGGGCUGGAGGCGGAGCGGCGUGGGGCCCCGUCCGCCGUCCUGGUCCGGGGUGCUGCGGCGGCGGCCUCGUGCGCGCGACCAGCCAGAAGGACCCAGAGGGGAGAGGAAUAGUUCUUCCUCCCUACGUGGCUAAGUUCAAAACAGUUGUUUUGUUGAUAAUCGACCUUCAGAGAAUAAACAGCUUGUUUAAUGCUAAUUUGAUCCACGCCCCAUCCUCCACCUGUUCUCUGCUCCAGGACCCUGACCUGACUGGAUUAUAUAAAUAAUCUCCCUCGUACUCUGGCUUCCAGUUGAUUUGGUGAAUGGGGAACCCCAGCAGAGAGCUUUCUGCCUUCCGGGCCUGACCCAUGGAGUAUCUCAGCCUUUGGUGUUCGCCUGAUCCAUGGAGUAUCUCAGCCUUUCGUGUUCGCCUGAUCCAUGGAGUAUCUCAGCCUUUCGUGUUCGCCUGAUCCAUGGAGUAUCUCAGCCUUUCGUGUUCGCCUGAUCCAUGGAGUAUCUCAGCCUUUCGUGUUCGCCUGUGUCUUCCAAUGUCACCCAUGAGCUAAAUCCAAGAAGUGUGCAAAGCUUAGGAUGUCUUCCUGGCAGCCGAGCGUCUCUUUGUGACUUGCUUGGCAGAGUUGGACAAAGUGCCAACAAGUACUGAUUACAGUUAUAAACUCUAGGAUGACCAAUAG
rnacentral:lncRNA from 1 species